GCUGGGCGCGGUGGCUCACGCCUGUAAUCCCAGCACUUUGGGAGGCAGAGGUGGGCGGAUCACCUGAGGUCAGGAGUUCCAGACCAGCCUGGCCAACAUGGUGAAACCCCGUCUCUA
rnacentral:SRP_RNA from 1 species